rnacentral:lncRNA from 1 species
UUAAGAGGUAAUCUCAAGACCUAUGAAUCUACUAUUCUUAACCCUCUUGUUGAUGAUCAAAGUAGGCAAAGAAUAGCUCUAAAGGCGAGCACAAGUCAACCGCAAAUUGAUGAGGAAGGAGACACGAGUUUGGACUCGUUAUCAAAAGAUUUCAAAAGAUCAUGCGCAAGGAGUAUGAACGCAAAGGGAAAAAGCAAGGAGAAAUAAAAUGCUACGAAUGC